UACGAAGGGGGCUAGCGUUGCUCGGAAUCACUGGGCGUAAAGGGCGCGUAGGCGGCCAUUCAAGUCGGGGGUGAAAGCCUGUGGCUCAACCACAGAAUUGCCUUCGAUACUGUUUGGCUUGAGUUUGGUAGAGGUUGGUGGAACUGCGAGUGUAGAGGUGGAAAUUCGUAGAUAUUCGCAAGAACACCAGUGGCGAAGGCGGCCAACUGGACCAACAC
rnacentral:rRNA from 1 species